AUAGUGAUUCCGUCAGUAGUGGCGAGCGAACGCGGAAUAGCCUAAAACCUGUCGCCCUCGGGCGACGGGUGGUUGCGAGACAACGCAACUCGUUUAAUCGGGAUCUAAAUAUUUUUCUUAAUAGAACACUUUGGAAAAAGUGGCCAUAGAAGGUAAUAGCCCUGUAUGUGAAAAGAAAAGUGUUGUGAUGGUAUUGUUCUCAAGUAGGGCAGGACCGGUGAAAUCCUGUCUGAAUCCGGGAGCACUAAACUUCCAAGGCUAAAUAUUGCUUCAGAUCGAUAGUGAACUAGUACCGUGAGGGAAAGGUGAAAAGCAUCCCGAUGAGGGAGGUGAAAUAGUACCUGAAACCAUACGCUGACUCAGAGUCGGAGCCGAUUUAUCGGUAACGGCGUGCUUUUUGCAGAACGAGCCAACGAGUUAAUUCUAUGCGGCUUACAUAAGCUACUUUUGUAGAAUAUGUAUAGUGAAAGCGAGCUUUAAAAGGCGACUUGUCGCAUGGAUUAGACCCGAAACCAGGCGAGCUACAUAUGAGCAGGGUGAACCUCGAGUAACAUCGAGGGGAGGCCCGAACCCACCAGUCGUUCAACACUGGGGGAUGACUUGUGUGUAGAGGAGAAAUUCCAAUCGAGCUUGGCAAUAGCUGGUUCUCUCCGAAAUAGCUUGAGGGCUAGCGUCUUGUUAUUGGACAUAAGAGGUAGAGCUACUGAAUGAGAAUUCGCGGUUCGCCGUAGGGUUCCCAACCAAACUCCGAAUUCUUAUGUUUUUAUCAAGGCAGUCAGAAAUCCGGCUCUAAGGUCGGAUCUCAAAAGGGAAACAGCCCAGAUCAUAAUCUAAGGUCCCUAAAUCCAUAUUAAGUGAUUGUAAGGAGGUAAAGUUUCUUAUACACCUAGGAGGUUGGCUUAGAAGCAGCCAUCCUUUAAAGAGUGCGUAACAGCUCACUAGUCUAGAGAUUUUGCGCCGAAAAUGUAUUGGGGCUAAAUAUGGUACCGAAGAUAUGAGUCCAUGGGACAUACACUAAGAAAACGAAGAUAAAACGAAACUAACUAAAAAAUAUUAGUUUCAUUAGUGUUAAUAUUCGUUAAUUUAGUGUAUGCCCUGUGGGCGGUAGGAGAGUGUUCUAUGUGCUGCGAAGUUUUGCUGUGAGGCAGGAUGGAGCGCAUAGAAGUAAGAAUGUUGGCAUGAGUAACCACAAUGCGGGUGAGAACCCCGCACACCGAAAGUCCAAGGUUUCCUGGGCAAUGUCGAUCAUCCCAGGGUUAGUCGGGCCUAAGGCGAGGCCGAAAGGCGUAGUCGAUGGACACACGGUUAAUAUUCCGUGACUACAAUAGUAUUCGAUGGAGUGACGUGUUCUAGUAUAUUUUGCGUCUUAUUGGAUUGACGUAAUUAUUUUGAGGGUGUCUUGCAGGCAAAUCCGCAAGAUAUAGCCCAAGAAAUAGUUGGAACCCCGCCUCGGCGGGGGAACGAAAUAAAGCAGGGCACCAGGAAAAACUUCUAAGGCUAGUACUGUUGUAUCCGUACUGCAAACCGACACAGGUGGACUGGGCGAGUAGCCCAAGGUGAACGAGAGAACCUUCGUUAAGGAACUCGGCAAAAAAGCUAGAUGUAAGUUAGCGAGA
rnacentral:rRNA from 1 species